rnacentral:tRNA from 1 species
UCUAUUAUGGCAGAAAAGUGCAUUGGACUUAAGCUCCAAAUAUAAAGUCAAUUCUUUUUAUAGAA